rnacentral:misc_RNA from 1 species
CCCGGCCGCGAGGCCGCGGUGGUCCUUCCGCGUAACACUUGCCGAAGCCUUAGCAGCCCGAAAGGGUGCGGCCCCGACGACUCUAAACAUGGAGAGGGCCGCUUGAAUGCUAGUCUGCAGCUCGCAGGCGACACUAUCAAAUUGCGGGAACACCCUAAAGACCUCAACACCAAGCGCCCGCGGGAAACCGCGGCGUGGCCGAGCUAAUAGCCCUGGGUACGGUAACAGCUUGAGGUAUGACGCCCCCUCCUGGGGGGCCGAAAUGGGCAAUCCGCAGCCAAGUCCUAACGCGCUCGCGGGCGCCACGGAUGCUGUUCACAGGCCAAAUGGUAGUGGGUGACUGUCCGCAGUUGCUUAAGAUAUGGUCGGGCCCCGCCAGAAAUGGCGGGGGUAAGUUUACGCCGUAACAACCGUUCCGUAGGUGAACCUGCGGAAGGAUCAUUAUCGUGGGGCCUCUGGCCCCGUCGAGAUAGCGUCCUUGCCUAUUUUUUGGAGCACCCUUCGUUUCCUCGGCAGGCCCGCCUGCCACUGGGGACCCCCGAAACUCUCUGUAAACACAGCAACCGUCUGAAGAAACAAGCAAAAAUCAAAACUUUCAACAAUGGAUCUCUUGGUUCUGGCAUCGAUGAAGAACGCAGCAAAAUGCGAUAAGUAGUGUGAAUUGCAGAAUUCAGUGAAUCAUCGAAUCUUUGAACGCACAUUGCGCCCUUUGGUAUUCCUUAGGGCAUGCCUGUUCGAGCGUCAUUUACACCCUCAAGCGCAGCUUGGUGUUGGGCGUCUGUCCCGCCGUCACGGCGCGGACUCGCCUCGAAACGAUUGGCGGCCCCUUCGGCGGCUCUGAGCGCAGCAGAUUUGCGUCUCUCGCGGCGGAACGGUGGCCUCCAGAAGCCUCCUCCUCAGUUUGACCUCGGAUCAGGUAGGGAUACCCGCUGAACUUAAGCAUAUCAAUAAGCGGAGGAAAAGAAACCAACAGGGAUUGCCCUAGUAACGGCGAGUGAAGCGGCAACAGCUCAAAUUUGAAAUCUGGCCCUCUCGGGGGCCCGAGUUGUACUUUGCAGAGGGUGCUUUGGCGUUGGCUGUGGUCUAAGUUCCUUGGAACAGGACGUCGCAGAGGGUGAGAAUCCCGUACGUGGCCGCCAGCCUCCGCCGUGUAAAGCCCCUUCGACGAGUCGAGUUGUUUGGGAAUGCAGCUCUAAAUGGGAGGUAAAUUUCUUCUAAAGCUAAAUAUUGGCCAGAGACCGAUAGCGCACAAGUAGAGUGAUCGAAAGAUGAAAAGCACUUUGGAAAGAGAGUCAAAAAGCACGUGAAAUUGUUGAAAGGGAAGCGCUUGCAGCCAGACUUGCUUGCGGUUGCUCAGCCGGGCUUUCGCCCGGUGUACUCUCCCGCACGCAGGCCAGCAUCAGUCCGGGCGGUUGGAUAAAGGCCCAUUAAACGUACCUCCCCUCGGGGAGGACUUAUAGGGUGGGUGCCAUGCAACCAGCCCGGA